AGAGUUUGAUCAUGGCUCAGGAUGAACGCUAGCUACAGGCUUAACACAUGCAAGUCGAGGGGCAGCAUGGUCUUAGCUUGCUAAGGCCGAUGGCGACCGGCGCACGGGUGAGUAACACGUAUCCAACCUGCCGUCUACUCUUGGACAGCCUUCUGAAAGGAGGAUUAAUACAAGAUGGCAUCAUGAGUCCGCAUGUUCACAUGAUUAAAGGUAUUCCGGUAGACGAUGGGGAUGCGUUCAUUAGAUAGUAGGCGGGGUAACGGCCACCUAGUCUUCGAUGGAUAGGGGUUCUGAGAGGAAGGUCCCCCANAUUGGAACUGAGACACGGUCCAAACUCCUACGGGAGCA
rnacentral:rRNA from 1 species